AAGAUCAUACUUCACAGGAUCAUUUCUGUAGUAUAUCUUCGCAUACUCUUCACAAACGUGUUGAGUUAUUGCAACCAUGAUGAUGUGGAAGAGUUCCACACCUUGAGCGUGAGGCUGGUAGCAGUUGGACUUCGGUCUGAUUGCUACUAACGAUGAUCGUUCAGCUCCCUUCGGGGAGUCACGGGUGUGGGACAGUCUGAGUGGU